ensembl:snoRNA
GGCUGACCUGGAAUUUACUGAGGCUGUGUUCUUAUACUGACUGUAUAGAAAGAGGAGGCAAAGUAAACCUACCCCCAUGUGUACCUCUGCCUAGGCCACUGUGCCUGGUCUGAAUUGUGAAUGGGGAUACAUAG